CGCCUGGUAGCUCAGUGGUUAAAGCGCUGGCUUCAGAAGCCAGAGGACCGGGGUUUGAUUCUCCGGCCGGGUGA
rnacentral:tRNA from 1 species